GGAUGAACGCUGGCGGCGUGCCUAAUACAUGCAAGUCGAACGCUUUGUGGUUCAACUGAUUUGAAGAGCUUGCUCAGAUAUGACGAUGGACAUUGCAAAGAGUGGCGAACGGGUGAGUAACACGUGGGAAACCUACCUCUUAGCAGGGGAUAACAUUUGGAAACAGAUGCUAAUACCGUAUAACAAUGACAACCGCAUGGUUGUUAUUUAAAAGAUGGUUCUGCUAUCACUAAGAGAUGGUCCCGCGGUGCAUUAGCUAGUUGGUAAGGUAAUGGCUUACCAAGGCGAUGAUGCAUAGCCGAGUUGAGAGACUGAUCGGCCACAAUGGGACUGAGACACGGCCCAUACUCCUACGGGAGGCAGCAGUAGGGAAUCUUCCACAAUGGGCGAAAGCCUGAUGGAGCAACGCCGCGUGUGUGAUGAAGGGUUUCGGCUCGUAAAACACUGUUGUAAGAGAAGAAUGACAUUGAGAGUAACUGUUCAAUGUGUGACGGUAUCUUACCAGAAAGGAACGGCUAAAUACGUGCCAGCAGCCGCGGUAAUACGUAUGUUCCAAGCGUUAUCCGGAUUUAUUGGGCGUAAAGCGAGCGCAGACGGUUAUUUAAGUCUGAAGUGAAAGCCCUCAGCUCAACUGAGGAAUUGCUUUGGAAACUGGAUGACUUGAGUGCAGUAGAGGAAAGUGGAACUCCAUGUGUAGCGGUGAAAUGCGUAGAUAUAUGGAAGAACACCAGUGGCGAAGGCGGCUUUCUGGACUGUAACUGACGUUGAGGCUCGAAAGUGUGGGUAGCAAACAGGAUUAGAUACCCUGGUAGUCCACACCGUAAACGAUGAGUGCUAGGUGUUUGAGGGUUUCCGCCCUUAAGUGCCGCAGCUAACGCAUUAAGCACUCCGCCUGGGGAGUACGACCGCAAGGUUGAAACUCAAAGGAAUUGACGGGGACCCGCACAAGCGGUGGAGCAUGUGGUUUAAUUCGAAGCAACGCGAAGAACCUUACCAGGUCUUGACAUCCCUUGACAACUCCAGAGAUGGAGCGUUCCCUUCGGGGACAAGGUGACAGGUGGUGCAUGGUUGUCGUCAGCUCGUGUCGUGAGAUGUUGGGUUAAGUCCCGCAACGAGCGCAACCCUUAUUACUAGUUGCCAGCAUUCAGUUGGGCACUCUAGUGAGACUGCCGGUGACAAACCGGAGGAAGGUGGGGAUGACGUCAAAUCAUCAUGCCCCUUAUGACCUGGGCUACACACGUGCUACAAUGGCGUAUACAACGAGUUGCCAACCCGCGAGGGUGAGCUAAUCUCUUAAAGUACGUCUCAGUUCGGAUUGUAGGCUGCAACUCGCCUACAUGAAGUCGGAAUCGCUAGUAAUCGCGGAUCAGCACGCCGCGGUGAAUACGUUCCCGGGUCUUGUACUCACC
rnacentral:rRNA from 1 species